GAUGAAGAACGUAGUGAAAUGCGAUAAGUAAUGUGAAUUGCAGAGUUCAGUGAAUCAUCGAAUCUUUGAACGCACAUUGCGCCCGUCAGUAUUCUGGCGGGCAUGCCUGUUCGAGCGUCAUUACGCCCCUCAAGUCCCCUGUGGACUUGGUGUUGGGGAUCGGCGAGGCUGGUUUUCCAGCACAGCCGUCCCUUAAAUUAAUUGGCGGUCUCGCCGUGGCCCUCCUCUGCGCAGUAGUAAAACACUCGCAACAGGAGCCCGGCGCGGUCCACUGCCGUAAAACCCCCCAACUUUUUAUAGUUGACCUCGAAUCAGGUAGGACUACCCGCUGAACUUAAGCAUAUCAAUAAGCGGAGGA
rnacentral:misc_RNA from 1 species